AUUGAACGCUGGCGGCAUGCUUUACACAUGCAAGUCGAACGGCAGCGCGGGCUUCGUCCUGGCUGCGAGUGGCGAACGGGUGAGUAAUACAUCGGAACGUGCCCAGCAGUGGGGGAUAGCUCGGCGAAAGCCGGAUUAAUACCGCAUACGACCUGAGGGUGAAAGCGGGGGAUCUUCGGACCUCGCGCUAUUGGAGCGGCCGAUGGCAGGUUGGCUAGUUGGUGGGGUAAAGGCCUACCUAGGCGACGAUCUGUAGCUGGUCUGAGAGGACGACCAGCCACACUGGGACUGAGACACGGCCCAGACUCCUACGGGAGGCAGCAGUGGGGAAUGUUGGACAAUGGGCGAAAGCCUGAUCCAGCAAUGCCGCGUGUGUGAUGAAGGCCUUCGGGUUGUAAAGCACUUUUGGCGGGAACGAAAAGGACUGUGCCAAUACCACGGUUCGAUGACGGUACCCGCAGAAUAAGCACCGGCUAACUACGUG
rnacentral:rRNA from 1 species